rnacentral:lncRNA from 1 species
ACUUUGGGACUGCUUACAGCUUACAACAAUAAAUGCUCACUGUAAAUCUCCCCACAGGUGUACAUGAAGCCUCAAACUUGUUCUGAGUGCAUGCUGUCCUGUCACACUGGGCAAGCUGGAGCUGGCCAGUAGUCCAAGUCCUCAAAGUGCAAGGACACCAGCAAGGAGUGGGCCAGAAGGAAGCACAAGGGAGUUUGGUCUGCCUCUCUUACCAAGAGGGUGAAAAGCUCUGCCUAAGAACCAAGGUUAAUGGAGUUCAGGAAGAUAAGCCCUCCUUGAAGGAAUUCAGCAUUUUGCAUGACUGAACUCUAUAAAGUUCACUACUUUUGCAAGCCUCAGCAUGAGGUGUGAUCCAGUUUGCUCAGCAAUUAUGAGUUUAGUCUGUCUGUACCUGCCCUUUAUUCCUGUGUAAAAAACAUGCACAAAAGCCAUUGGCCCAAAUUUGCAACCUGAAAGAGCAUGUGGGAAGGAGGCUUUUACUCAGCUCUGGCAUCUGAUGUGAAGUUAGCUUUCAAAUACCAAAAAUAAUGUACUGAAGCACAGCAAUGGAGUUUCUCACAGAUGGAUGGAUGCAGAGUGUAACUUUGGUAUGAGUGCACCAAGGACAAACAAUCUGCUUGGAUUCUCCUGUGCAACUUCAUCGUGUGUUACUUUUUCUAGAAUCUAAAAGCCUGACUGCUAUUAA